UACGUAGGGGGCACGCGUUGUCCGGAUUUAUUGGGCGUAAAGAGCGUGUAGGCGGCCAGGUAGGUCAGCUGUGAAAACUCGAGGCUCAACCUCGAGACGCCGGUUGAAACCAUCUGGCUAGAGUCCGGAAGAGGAGAGUGGAAUUCCUGGUGUAGCGGUGAAAAGCGCAGAUAUCAGGAAGAACACCCGUGGCUAAGGCGGCUCUCUAGUACGGUACUGACGCUGAGACGCGAAAGCGUGGGGAGCGAACAGG
rnacentral:rRNA from 1 species